rnacentral:rRNA from 1 species
GAGGUUAAGCGACUAAGCGUACACGGUGGAUGCCCUGGCAGUCAGAGGCGAUGAAGGGCGUGCUAAUCUGCGAUAAGCGCCGGUAAGGUGAUAUGAACCGUUAUAACCGGCGAUACCCGAAUGGGGAAACCCAGUGUGAUUCGUCACACUAUCAUUAACUGAAUCCAUAGGUUAAUGAGGCGAACCGGGGGAACUGAAACAUCUAAGUACCCCGAGGAAAAGAAAUCAACCGAGAUUCCCCCAGUAGCGGCGAGCGAACGGGGAGGAGCCCAGAGCCUGAAUCAGCAUGUGUGUUAGUGGAAGCGUCUGGAAAGGCGCGCGAUACAGGGUGACAGCCCCGUACACAAAAGCGCAUGUGCUGUGAGCUCGAUGAGUAGGGCGGGACACGUGGUAUCCUGUCUGAAUAUGGGGGGACCAUCCUCCAAGGCUAAAUACUCCUGACUGACCGAUAGUGAACCAGUACCGUGAGGGAAAGGCGAAAAGAACCCCGGCGAGGGGAGUGAAAAAGAACCUGAAACCGUGUACGUACAAGCAGUGGGAGCCUCUUUUAUGGGGUGACUGCGUACCUUUUGUAUAAUGGGUCAGCGACUUAUAUUCUGUAGCAAGGUUAACCGUAUAGGGGAGCCGGAGGGAAACCGAGUCUUAACCGGGCGUUAAGUUGCAGGGUAUAGACCCGAAACCCGGUGAUCUAGCCAUGGGCAGGUUGAAGGUUGGGUAACACUAACUGGAGGACCGAACCGACUAAUGUUGAAAAAUUAGCGGAUGACCUGUGGCUGGGGGUGAAAGGCCAAUCAAACCGGGAGAUAGCUGGUUCUCCCCGAAAGCUAUUUAGGUAGCGCCUCGUGAAUUCAUCUCCGGGGGUAGAGCACUGUUUCGGCUAGGGGGCCAUCCCGGCUUACCAACCCGAUGCAAACUGCGAAUACCGGAGAAUGUUAUCACGGGAGACACACGGCGGGUGCUAACGUCCGUCGUGAAGAGGGAAACAACCCAGACCGCCAGCUAAGGUCCCAAAGUCAUGGUUAAGUGGGAAACGAUGUGGGAAGGCCCAGACAGCCAGGAUGUUGGCUUAGAAGCAGCCAUCAUUUAAAGAAAGCGUAAUAGCUCACUGGUCGAGUCGGCCUGCGCGGAAGAUGUAACGGGGCUAAACCAUGCACCGAAGCUGCGGCAGCGACGCUGAUGCGUUGUUGGGUAGGGGAGCGUUCUGUAAGCCUGCGAAGGUGGCCUGUGAGGGUUGCUGGAGGUAUCAGAAGUGCGAAUGCUGACAUAAGUAACGAUAAAGCGGGUGAAAAGCCCGCUCGCCGGAAGACCAAGGGUUCCUGUCCAACGUUAAUCGGGGCAGGGUGAGUCGACCCCUAAGGCGAGGCCGAAAGGCGUAGUCGAUGGGAAACGGGUUAAUAUUCCCGUACUUGGUGUUACUGCGAAGGGGGGACGGAGAAGGCUAUGUUGGCCGGGCGACGGUUGUCCCGGUUUAAGCGUGUAGGUGUGUGUUCCAGGUAAAUCCGGUUCACUUUAACACUGAGGCGUGACGACGAGGCACUACGGUGCUGAAGCAACAAAUGCCCUGCUUCCAGGAAAAGCCUCUAAGCAUCAGGUAACAUCAAAUCGUACCCCAAACCGACACAGGUGGUCAGGUAGAGAAUACCAAGGCGCUUGAGAGAACUCGGGUGAAGGAACUAGGCAAAAUGGUGCCGUAACUUCGGGAGAAGGCACGCUGACAUGUAGGUGAAGUGAUUUACUCAUGGAGCUGAAGUCAGUCGAAGAUACCAGCUGGCUGCAACUGUUUAUUAAAAACACAGCACUGUGCAAACACGAAAGUGGACGUAUACGGUGUGACGCCUGCCCGGUGCCGGAAGGUUAAUUGAUGGGGUCAGCGCAAGCGAAGCUCCUGAUCGAAGCCCCGGUAAACGGCGGCCGUAACUAUAACGGUCCUAAGGUAGCGAAAUUCCUUGUCGGGUAAGUUCCGACCUGCACGAAUGGCGUAAUGAUGGCCAGGCUGUCUCCACCCGAGACUCAGUGAAAUUGAACUCGCUGUGAAGAUGCAGUGUACCCGCGGCAAGACGGAAAGACCCCGUGAACCUUUACUAUAGCUUGACACUGAACAUUGAGCCUUGAUGUGUAGGAUAGGUGGGAGGCUUUGAAGUGUGGACGCCAGUCUGCAUGGAGCCGACCUUGAAAUACCACCCUUUAAUGUUUGAUGUUCUAACGUGGACCCGUUACCCGGGUUGCGGACAGUGUCUGGUGGGUAGUUUGACUGGGGCGGUCUCCUCCUAAAGAGUAACGGAGGAGCACGAAGGUUGGCUAAUCCUGGUCGGACAUCAGGAGGUUAGUGCAAUGGCAUAAGCCAGCUUGACUGCGAGCGUGACGGCGCGAGCAGGUGCGAAAGCAGGUCAUAGUGAUCCGGUGGUUCUGAAUGGAAGGGCCAUCGCUCAACGGAUAAAAGGUACUCCGGGGAUAACAGGCUGAUACCGCCCAAGAGUUCAUAUCGACGGCGGUGUUUGGCACCUCGAUGUCGGCUCAUCACAUCCUGGGGCUGAAGUAGGUCCCAAGGGUAUGGCUGUUCGCCAUUUAAAGUGGUACGCGAGCUGGGUUUAGAACGUCGUGAGACAGUUCGGUCCCUAUCUGCCGUGGGCGCUGGAGAACUGAGGGGGGCUGCUCCUAGUACGAGAGGACCGGAGUGGACGCAUCACUGGUGUUCGGGUUGUCAUGCCAAUGGCACUGCCCGGUAGCUAAAUGCGGAAGAGAUAAGUGCUGAAAGCAUCUAAGCACGAAACUUGCCCCGAGAUGAGUUCUCCCUGAGACUUAGAGUCUCCUGAAGGAACGUUGAAGACGACGACGUUGAUAGGCCGGGUGUGUAAGCGCAGCGAUGCGUUGAGCUAACCGGUACUAAUGAACCGUGAGGCUUAACCUUAC